CGGGAAUUUUGGGCAAUGGGCGAAAGCCUGACCCAGCAACGCCGCGUGAGGGAUGAAGUAUUUCGGUAUGUAAACCUCGAAAGAAUGGGAAGAAUAAAUGACGGUACCAUUUAUAAGCUCCGGCUAACUACGUGCCAGCAGCCGCGGUAAUACGUAGGGAGCAAGCGUUGUUCGGAUUUACUGGGCGUAAAGGGCGCGUAGGCGGCGCGGUAAGUCACUUGUGAAAUCUCUGAGCUUAACUCAGAACGGCCAAGUGAUACUGCUGUGCUAGAGUGCGGAAGAGGCAACCGGAAUUCUUGGUGUAGCGGUGAAAUGCGUAGAGAUCGGGAGGAACACCAGUGGCGAAGGCGGCCUCCGAGCCUGAACCUGACGCUGAAGCGCGAGAGCGUGGGGAGCAAACG
rnacentral:rRNA from 1 species